UACAGAGGGGGCAAGCGUUGUUCGGAAUUACUGGGCGUAAAGGGCGCGUAGGCGGCCUUCUAAGUCAGACGUGAAAUCCCUCGGCUCAACCGGGGAACUGCGUCUGAGACUGGAAGGCUUGAAUCCGGGAGAGGGAUGUGGAAUUCCAGGUGUAGCGGUGAAAUGCGUAGAUAUCUGGAGGAACACCGGUGGCGAAGGCGGCAUCCUGGACCGGUAUUGACGCUGAUGUGCGAAAGCGUGGGGAGCAAACAGGG
rnacentral:rRNA from 1 species